rnacentral:rRNA from 1 species
CCCUUCGGGGGACAAAGUGACAGGUGGUGCAUGGUUGUCGUCAGCUCGUGUCGUGAGAUGUUGGGUUAAGUCCCGCAACGAGCGCAACCCUUAAGCUUAGUUGCCAGCAUUAAGUUGGGCACUCUAAGUUGACUGCCGGUGACAAACCGGAGGAAGGUGGGGAUGACGUCAAAUCAUCAUGCCCCUUAUGAUUUGGGCUACACACGUGCUACAAUGGACGGUACAAAGGGCAGCGAACCCGCGAGGUCAAGCAAAUCCCAUAAAGCCGUUCUCAGUUCGGAUUGUAGUCUGCAACUCGACUACAUGAAGCUGGAAUCGCUAGUAAUCGUAGAUCAGCAUGCUACGGUGAAUACGUUCCCGGGUCUUGUACACACCGCCCGUCACACCACGAGAGUUUGUAACACCCGAAGCCGGUGGAGUAACCUUUUAGGAACUAGCCGUCGAAGGUGGGACAAAUGAUUGGGGUGAAGUCGUAACAAGGUAGCCGUAUCGGAAGGUGCGGCUGGAUCACCUCCUUU